rnacentral:rRNA from 1 species
UGGGGAAUAUUGCACAAUGGGCGAAAGCCAGAUGCAGCAACGCCGCGUGAGUGAUGACGGUCUUCGGAUUGUAAAGCUCUGUCUUCGGGGACGAUAAUGACGGUACCCAAGGAGGAAGCCACGGCUAACUACGUGCCAGCAGCCGCGGUAAUACGUAGGUGGCAAGCGUUGUCCGGAUUUACUGGGCGUAAAGGGUGCGUAGGCGGACCUUUAAGUGAGAUGUGAAAUCCCCGAGCUUAACUUGGUGGCUGCAUUUCAAACUGGAGGUCUAGAGUGCAGGAGAGGAGAGUGGAAUUCCUAGUGUAGCGGUGAAAUGCGUAGAGAUUAGGAAGAACACCAGUGGCGAAGGCGACUCUCUGGACUGUAACUGACGCUGAGGCACGAAAGCGUGGGAAGCAAACAG